CGAAAGCCUGACGGAGCAAUACCGCGUGGGGGAGGAAGGCCCUUGGGUCGUAAACCCCUUUUCUCAGGGAAGAAAUUUGACGGUACCUGAGGAAUAAGCAUCGGCUAACUCCGUGCCAGCAGCCGCGGUAAUACGGAGGAUGCAAGCGUUAUCCGGAAUCAUUGGGCGUAAAGCGUCCGCAGGUGGCUGCUCAAGUCUGCUGUCAAAGCCCGGGGCUCAACCCUGGAGGGGCAGUGGAAACUGGGCUGCUAGAGUGCGGUAGGAGUAGAGGGAAUUCCCGGUGUAGCGGUGAAAUGCGUAGAUAUCGGGAAGAACACCAGUGGCGAAAGCGCUCUACUGGGCCGCAACUGACACUCAUGGACGAAAGCUA
rnacentral:rRNA from 1 species